rnacentral:rRNA from 1 species
GGGUAGCCGGCCUGAGAGGGCGACCGGCCACACUGGGACUGACACACCGCCCAGACUCCUACGGGAGGCAGCAAUGGGGAAUAUUGCUCAAUGGGCGCAAGCCUGAAGCCGCCACCCCCCGUGAGGGAUGAAGGCCCUCGGGUUGUAAACCUCUUUCCGCAGGGACCAAACGAAAGUGACGGUACCUGCAGAAAAAAGCCCGGCCAACUACGUGCCCUCAGCCGCGGUAAUACCUACGGUGCGAGCGUUGUCCGGAAUUAUUGGGCGUAAAGAGCUCGUAGGCGGCCUGUUGCCUCCACUGUGAAAACUCCAGGCUCAACCCCGAGCCUGCAUUCGAUACCGGCAGACUAGAGUUUUGGCAUUGGAAACUGGAAUUCCUGGUGUAGCGGUGAAAUGCGCACAUAUCUAGGAGGAACACCGGUGGCGAAGGCGGGUUUCUGUGCCGAAAUUGACGCUGAGGAGCGAAAGCGUGGGGAGCGAACAGGAUUAGAUACCCUGGUAGUCCACGCCGUAAACGUUGGGCGCUAGGUGUGGGGGUCCUUCCACGGCCUCCGUGCCGCAGCUAACGCAUUAAGCGCCCCGCCUGGGGAGUACGGCCGCAAGGCUAAAACUCAAAGGAAUUGACGGGGGCCCGCACAAGCGGCGGAGCAUGUGGAUUAAUUCGAUGCAACGCGAAGAACCUUACCUGGGUUUGACAUACACCGGAAAGCUGUGGAGACAUGGCCUCCGCAAGGUCGGUGUACAGGUGGUGCAUGGCUGUCGUCAGCUCGUGUCGUGAGAUGUUGGGUUAAGUCCCGCAACGAGCGCAACCCUUGUCCCAUGUUGCCAGCGGGUGAAGCCGGGGACUCAUGGGAAACUGCCGGGGUCAACUCGGAGGAAGGUGGGGACGACGUCAAGUCAUCAUGCCCCUUAUGUCCAGGGCUUCACACAUGCUACAAUGGCCGGUACAAAGGGCUGCUAAGCCGUGAGGGGGAGCCAAUCCCACAAAGCCGGUCUCAGUUCGGAUCGGGGUCUGCAACUCGACCCCGUGAAGUCGGAGUCGCUAGUAAUCGCAGAUCAG